rnacentral:tRNA from 1 species
GAGCGUGUGAAUGUAGCGGAUAUCACAGGAGUGUGCGAACCUCCUGACCUGGGUUCAAAUCCCGGCACGCUCACCA